GUGGAGCAUGUGGCUUAAUUUGACUCAACGCGGGAAAUCUUACCGGGUCCGGACACACUGAGGAUUGACAGGCAAUAUUAAUACAUCAGUUCUUUUUUAUUAAAGUCUGUGUAUUAUGUUAAAUAUGCUAGUCCUUUCAUGAUUAUGUGAUAGGUGGUGCAUGGCCGUUCUUAGUUCGUGGAGUGAUCUGUCUGCUUAAUUGCGUUUCACUAAGGGCCUAUAAAUUUACGUGUGUUGCGGCACUUUGACCCCUCUCUGAGCGCGCGUCUUAGUUUGCUUUGCUCGCACAAUUAGGUCCUGAAAGCAACGAACGUGACCGCAACCUCUUGUUGCCUUUAUUCCAAACAUGUUUGCCAUUUUAAAUGGUAUUCAUGAAAAAAGGCUUUUUAAACUAGAGGGACCGCUGUUACUUUCUUAAACCAGAGGAAGGUUGCGGCAAUAACAGGUCUGUGAUGCCCUUAGAUGUUCCGGGCUGCACACGUGCUACAAUGAUUAUUGCAGUGAGCAUCUCAUUUUUACACACCGCAUGCGCGAGUCCAUUUAUUCACCUCUCUGAGGCGCUUUAAAUGUGUACCUCUGCGCGCGGUAAAGCCUGCUUCGAGAGUAAGUGGGUAAUCAAUUAGAAGUAAUGAUUUCCUUUUUAGCACACAUAUAUACGGCGUCUAUGCCCGGGCUGCCUUGUUGUAGCUUUUGUGCGUAUAGAUGUUUUUUCCGUAUGUGCGAUUGUCAAUUCAUGGUGGGGACAGACCAUUGUUAAUUGUUGGUCUCGGUCUUAACUAGGAAUGCCUUGUACGGGUCUUUGGUUCAACAAACCACCCGGAAUACGUCCCUGCCCUUUGUACACACCGCCCGUCGCUCUUACCGAUGGACUUCUCUGUGAGUUUGAGGGACUGGGAACGCAGAUUUUAUCUGCACACCUAUGGAAACUUAAACGAACAGUGUGGUCUAAAG
rnacentral:rRNA from 1 species